GUUAUGGAUCAGUGGUAGAGCGCUUGCCUAGCAUGUGUGAGGCACUGGGUUCAAACCUCAGCAUCACA
rnacentral:tRNA from 1 species